AGUGAACGCUGGCGGUAGGCCUAACACAUGCAAGUCGAACGGCAGCACAGCAAGAGCUUGCUCUUACGGGUGGCGAGUGGCGGACGGGUGAGGAAUACAUCGGAAUCUACUUUUUCGUGGGGGAUAACGUAGGGUAACUUACGCUAAUACCGCAUACGACCUACGGGUGAAAGCAGGGGAUCUUCGGACCUUGCGCGAUUGAAUGAGCCGAUGUCGGAUUAGCUAGUUGGCGGGGUAAAGGCCCACCAAGGCGACGAUCCGUAGCUGGUCUGAGAGGAUGAUCAGCCACACUGGAACUGAGACACGGUCCAGACUCCUACGGGAGGCAGCAGUGGGGAAUAUUGGACAAUGGGCGCAAGCCUGAUCCAGCCAUACCGCGUGGGUGAAGAAGGCCUUCGGGUUGUAAAGCCCUUUUGUUGGGAAAGAAAAGCAGCAGGUUAAUACCCCGCUGUUCUGACGGUACCCAAAGAAUAAGCACCGGCUAACUUCGUG
rnacentral:rRNA from 1 species